rnacentral:rRNA from 1 species
AGCAUAUCAAUAAGCGGAGGAAAAGAAACCAACAGGGAUUGCCUCAGUAACGGCGAGUGAAGCGGCAACAGCUCAAAUUUGAAAUCUGGCCUCGGCCCGAGUUGUAAUUUGCAGAGGAUGCUUCUGGUGCGGCACCGACCGAGUCCCCUGGAACGGGGCGCCAUAGAGGGUGAGAGCCCCGUGUGGUUGGACGCCUAUCCUGUGUGAAGCUCCUUCGACGAGUCGAGUAGUUUGGGAAUGCUGCUCAAAAUGGGAGGUAAAUUUCUUCUAAAGCUAAAUAUUGGCCAGAGACCGAUAGCGCACAAGUAGAGUGAUCGAAAGAUGAAAAGCACUUUGAAAAGAGGGUUAAAUAGCACGUGAAAUUGUUGAAAGGGAAGCGCUUGUGACCAGACUUGCGCCUCGUCGAUCAUCCGGGGUUCUCCCCGGUGCACUCGGCGGGGCUCAGGCCAGCAUCGGUUUUCGCGGGGGGACAAAGGCCCCGGGAACGUAGCUCCUCCGGGAGUGUUAUAGCCCGGGGCGUAAUGCCCUCGCGGGGACCGAGGACCGCGCUUCGGCAAGGAUGCUGGCGUAAUGGUCAUCAGCGACCCGUCUUGAAACACGGACCAAGGAGUCAAGGUUUUGCGCGAGUGUUUGGGUGUAAAACCCGCACGCGUAAUGAAAGUGAACGUAGGUGAGAGCUUCGGCGCAUCAUCGACCGAUCCUGAUGUAUUCGGAUGGAUUUGAGUAGGAGCGUUAAGCCUUGGACCCGAAAGAUGGUGAACUAUGCUUGGAUAGGGUGAAGCCAGAGGAAACUCUGGUGGAGGCUCGCAGCGGUUCUGACGUGCAAAUCGAUCGUCAAAUCUGAGCAUGGGGGCGAAAGACUAAUCGAACCAUCUAGUAGCUGGUUACCGCCGAAGUUUCCCUCAGGAUAGCAGUGUUGUUCUUCAGUUUUAUGAGGUAAAGCGAAUGAUUAGGGACUCGGGGGCGCUUUUUAGCCUUCAUCCAUUCUCAAACUUUAAAUAUGUAAGAAGCCCUUGUUACUUAAUUGAACGUGGGCAUUCGAAUGUACCAACACUAGUGGGCCAUUUUUGGUAAGCAGAACUGGCGA